UUUUUAAAAUUAUAAUGCAUUUUUUGUUUAUUAAAUUGUGAAUUAAUUCUAAAAUUUUAUGUAUCAAGUGUAACUUACCAAGGCUCAAUAUUGAUGAAUUUUUUCUCACAUAUUUCUAAUAUGCUUUAUACUGUUUAGGAUCAAGGUAAACGAAGACAAAGGAUCUCUUAUUGUAAGCCAUUGUGAUUUUUAAUCUUAUAUGAAAUAUAUUUGUAAGUAAAACUGUGAUACAAUUUAGAUAAGAAGAUGAAGUGAGGAGUAUUGAAAGGAGUGUAAGAUAAAUAAAUACAUUUUUGCAAGUAACAAUGUAGAACUAUUCUUCUUCAACUUUUCUAUUCACUAACUUAUUAAUACCAUCAAUUCUUUUCAGUCUGGCACAUAGACAUCAUAGAAAAUUCACCUUAUCGCGAAUGAAGCUGUCAAUAUAUGGACGAUGUCGUCGUUAUCGUUGGCUUAAGAAACCUAUAAGAUUGCGGCAAGCGAAAAAAAACCCUAAGGAAGUAUAUCUGUCUUGAGUGAGUGGGAAGAAAAAAAAUUUAUGUUUCUAGAGGCUGGUUGACUUGGCGCACAAAUUAUCUUUUGCACGAAUCGUCAUGAUACCGAGCUCGUCUCUGCGUGAUGACUACAACGAUGAGAAAUGAAGUUUUAUGCAAUGAACUUCCAUUCCCCCGAUCGAUCGUUUCCCCAGAUCCAGACUAAAUUCAUUUUCGUUGAAUCACAUAGGCUAAUGAUGAAGAGAACCGUUAUCUUAAGGUCGCAGGUAUACUUCAAGUAAGGUAAUUCGGCAUGCGAAUAACCUAUUAGAGUUAUCGGAAGUUUUUCCUGUUUGUAAAGUUUCCAUGUUUAUGCUUGUUCUACGUUGCCCUAAUAAUGUGUUCAUAGAUCUGCACAACCUUCGGUCAUGCCGAGACCAGGAUAGGACGUUAACGUGUAUGUUUUAGAUGUUCAGAAAAUAUGAGAGACAUUUGGAGGAUAUAUACCGGUGACUUAGCAAGUGAAGGAAAAAUUGUCUAUGUAAAGAGUAUAUGCGCAAGAAUUAUAUAUUAUGUGUAAGAAGUGGUGGAAAUGUUAGGUUUUCUUGGUAACGUUGGUUUCAAUUGAAGUAGGAAUUGAAUUUUAUUUCAUUUCUCUUAGUCAUUUUGCAUCUUAAUAUCUUUUUGUAAACAUAAUUUAUGUCAAUUGUAAAAAAAUCUGAAGAUCCGAAGAUCUAAGAACUUGAAGACUGACUAUCCUGGAAUUAGGAGGAAUCCAUGUAUACGUCUGGGAAUCUUUACUAGCCAAAGCUUUCGAAGUCGAUGUUUAGAGAAUUGAAAAAAAAUCUUGAUAUCUUCAUCGAAAUCCCAAUCUUAGCCGACCAGUUUAAGGAUUUAAAUCUGUACCAGCAAUGAAUCGAGGCGCACUAUGAAAAAAAUCAUACAUAAAAUAAGAGCACAAUGAAAAAAUAUUUUUAUUUAAAAGAGCACAAACAAUACAACACAAAUAGCAAGAGUGGUAAAUCAACACCAAUUGAAAGGAAUUUUCUAUUACGGUAAAACCUGGCUAAGUAAAAUUUAUAUCUAUAUAUUUGAAUUUUUGAUCAAAUUGUUUAUCUGGUAAUUUAAGGCGUAUUAUAUGGUAAAUUAUUUUAGUUCAGUACUCUUAUAUAAUUAAGUAUUUACAUGGUAACAAAGUAUUGAACUUUUUUCUCGGUAAUAUUCCUGAUAGCAAGCUGACGUCCUUUUGUCGUCAAAGUGAUAACAAAAUGACGUAGCUUUGUUAUCAGAGAUAAUUUUAUAUUGGAAUGUUUUUUGUGGAGAUAAAUAAAGAGAUAUAAGAUGAGGGGUCGGGGGGGGAGGUGCAAAUGAGAAACCUUUUUGAUUGACAGACAGCUGCGUGUGUUUGGAAGAUUUCUCAUCCUAUUCGACCGAUGAACUGUGAAGAACUGUGAUUAAAUGUCUCGAGAUUGGCAUCAAAAUAUAAAAUGCAAUCUAUUGAACGUGACGAUAUCGUGAAGAUUUGAUGGACGACUUAAGAUAAUGAAAAUGAGACAGGCUGCAGAACGAAAGAACUAGAUCUAAACCUUUCAUAGAUUAGAUAAACGCCCCCGAUCGUCAUUAUCUGCACAGUUCUAAUUCGACAGCCUGUCGACGAUACAAUUGAUCAUCAUCAGGAGAUAUCACUGGAUUUGUAUGAUUAAGGUAACAAGAGACGGAAGAUCGUUAUUGAUCUUUGAUUCUUGUACUUUGUGCCUUGUGUAUACAGAUAUAGAUGGGGGGAGGGGGAGGGGGAGGGGAAAAAAAACAAUGUUUUUAUGAGUCACAGGGAAGAUGCUGUUUUGCACAAUGGUAAUGAAGAAAAAUGUACUUGGAGGAUAUUUCAAGAUGGCACAAGAUUACCAGAUAUAUAAUUAUCGAUAUCAUAUGAUAUGAUCAUAUUCUGCUGAUGUCUUUCGAUUACUUUGGCAAAAUGUAAUUUCAUCUGAAUCCGCACAAAGCAAGUUUGCACGAGAUUUCUGCAAGGAUGUGUCGAGCAUACGGACCAUAUGAAUUUGCAAAUCUUGGGAUGAAAUAAAUUUAAACAUCUAAUUAUAACACAAAAGGCUAAAGAUAAUAGACUUCAGUAAUUUAACAAUUUCAGAAUUUGAAGCUCACACGGAUCAUCAAGGAUCUAUAAAUAUUUAAAAGUCUAAAAAGCCAAAGAGUUUUAGAUAAUGCUUUUCAAAUCACUUUGUUUUCAUCAUUAAUUUAAUUAUAAUGGAAUUAUUUUUGCAA